UGUUUUUGUCUUUGUCUCGGGCUGUUGGAGAACAAAGAAGCACUUCGUUGGAAACGAACAAGCCCAUUACCUGCAAUCUCACUCAGUGAUUAUCUGAAAGUGUGACAGCAUAGAAUUGUGAGAAUUCCAAAGAAUACACGUUACAAGGAGGUUGUCAUCUGCCUCUUUGAUGUAAACUAAUGGUCUUACCAGCUAGCCUAGCUUGCCCUGGUCGUCUCACUCACAUGCAAGCCUUGGGUUACGCUGUCCUACAGGCCUCCUGUACACACAGGGGUGGCGAUGCAGACGUCUGUAUCGGUCUGCUAAUACAGGACUAGUAGUUGACCAGUACACUAAUGGAGUUAUAUUGGAGUUAUAUUCCUGCCUUUCCAGGGAAUUUUUCCUAGCCACCGUGCUUCUACAUCUGCAUUGCUUGCUGUUUGGGGUUUUAGGCUGGGUUUCUGUACAGCACAUUAUGACAUCAGCUGAUGUAAAAAGGGC
ensembl:lncRNA